rnacentral:tRNA from 1 species
GCCUGGGUGGCUGAUUCGGUUAAGCAUCCGACUUUGGCUCUGGUCAUGAUCUCGAGGUUCGUGGGUUCAAGCCCCACGUCAGGCU